rnacentral:rRNA from 1 species
AUUGAACGCUGGCGGCAUGCCUUACACAUGCAAGUCGAACGGCAGCACGGGUGCUUGCACCUGGUGGCGAGUGGCGAACGGGUGAGUAAUAUAUCGGAACGUACCUUAUUGUGGGGGGUAACGCAGCGAAAGCUGUGCUAAUACCGCAUAAUCCCUAAGGGGGAAAGCGGGGGACCGUAAGGCCUCGCGCAAUUAGAGCGGCCGAUACCUGAUUAGCUAGUUGGUGAGGUAAAGGCUCACCAAGGCAACGGUCAGUAGCUGGUCUGAGAGGACGAUCAGCCACACUGGGACUGAGACACGGCCCAGACGCCUACGGGAGGCAGCAGUGGGGAAUUUUGGAAAAUGGGGGCAACCCUGAUCCAGCAAUGCCGCGUGAGUGAAGAAGGCCUUCGGGUUGUAAAGCUCUUUUGUCAGGGAAGAAACAGCAGCUCUAACACAGUUUGCGAAUGACGGUACCUGAGGAAUAAGCACCGGCUAACUACGUGCCAGCAGCCGCCGUAA